rnacentral:rRNA from 1 species
GACGAACGCUGGCGGCGUGCUUAACACAUGCAAGUCGAGCGGUAAGGCCCUUUCGGGGGUACACGAGCGGCGAACGGGUGAGUAACACGUGGGUGACCUGCCCUCAGCUCUGGGAUAAGCCUGGGAAACCGGGUCUAAUACUGGAUAUGACUCCAUGACGCAUGUUGUGGGGUGGAAAGCCUUGUGCGGCUGAGGAUGGGCCCGCGGCCUAUCAGCUUGUUGGUGGGGUGAGGCCUACCAAGGCGACGACGGGUAGCCGGCCUGAGAGGGCGACCGGCCACACUGGGACUGAGACACGGCCCAGACUCCUACGGGAGGCAGCAGUGGGGAAUCUUGCGCAAUGGGCGAAAGCCUGACGCAGCGACGCCGCGUGA